UAGACCAGUAGUGUAUUAUAUUAUAUUUGGCCAAUUUCACACACGUGUAUUACUACACACUUGAGAUACCCCCGGAGACACCCUCAGAGAGUGGGGUCACAGGAAGGGAGAGACAGAUGUAGACAGACCAAAAAGAUGAAAACAGGGGAACUAAUCAGUGAAUAGAAGGGAGGGGAGAGAGUCACAAAGCUUUACAGUGUGUGUGUUUGGAGAGCAUAGAUGAGUUAAUGCGAGCUGAUAACAUAAAGGGCGUUUGUGUGUUACUGUGUGUGUGUGGUAACCUCUGACAGCCCUUUUUAGCAGCGUUAAGGCAUCCGCAUGCUUUCCAUCAAACUCUUCAGAAACAGUUCAGGCAUAUAUUAUGAAGACAUUGUUAGUUCAUCGGUGAUUGGUCAACAGUAGGGAUUCUUCAACUGUUUGUCAUUCAACGAGAGAGGAAUUGUUAUCAUGCACAUUUUUAUCACUUGAGAAAUACACCAAACAUUUUAGAUGGAAAAUUGCACGAUUAAGAUCUCCCCAAAAUUAGUAACAGAUUUGAGUUCUUAGAUAAGUUUCACAUGUUUGCUGAAUCUUGCGGCCAUUUUCACCAAAACUCUAAACACAGCACAAAAUGCAAAACUCUACAAAUCUCUAGCAAAAGCAAACACUGCAUUCAAAACGGUUCUUUCCUAAAUGUUGUUUUUUUGCAUCAAAAUUAAUAGAUCUGUCUACCAACCAACAACACACUGAUGUGCUCAACACAAAACACUGAUGUGCUCAACACAAAACACUAUGAAUAUCCCAGCAGUAGGUUUAUGAUGUGCUCAACACAAAACACUGAAUAUCCCAGCAGUAGUGAUGUGCUCAACACAAAACACUAUGAAUAUCCCAGCAGUAGGUUUAUGAUGUGCUCAACACAAAACACUGAAUAUCCCAGCAGUAGGUUUAUGAUGUGCUCAACACAAAACACUGNNNNNNNNNNAGAGAAAAGAUAGAAGAGAGUGGAAGAAAGAGAGAAGAUAGAGAAGAUAGAGAGGAGAGAGUGGAAGAAAGAGAGGAGAGAGUGGAAGAUAGAGAGAAGAUGGAGAGAGAGAGAGAAGAUAGAGGAGAGAGAGAGAAAAGAUAGAGAGAAGAGAGUGGAAGAAAGAAAGGAGAGAGUGGAAGGAGGAGAGAGAGAGAAGAUAGAGAGGGGAGAGAGAAGAUAGUGAGGAGAGAGUGGAAGAAAGAGAGAUGAGAGUGGAAGAAAGAGAGGAAAGAUUGGAAGAAAGAGAGGAGAGAGAGAGAGAGAAGAUAGAGAGGAGAGAG
rnacentral:lncRNA from 13 species